rnacentral:rRNA from 1 species
UGCCCAAGGAUUCAACGGCCGCGGUACUCUGACCGUGCGAAGGUAGCACAAUCACUUGUUCUUUAAAUGAGGACUAGAAUCAAUGGCAUCACGAGGGUCCCACUGUCUCCUUUUUCUAAUCAGUGAAAUUGAUCUCCCCGUGAAGAAGCGGGGAUAAUUUUAUAAGACGAGAAGACCCCAUGGAGCUUCAAACUCAACAGAUAACUCUAUGACACAAGAUAUUUUAAGAGACCUAUCCGUUAGUCUUGGGUUGGGGUGACCACGGAGAACAACCUAACCUCCGCAGUGAAAAGAAAUCAUAAUCCGAGAGCCACACCUCUAAGAAUUAACAAAUUAA